rnacentral:rRNA from 1 species
AUUGAACGCUGGCGGCAGGCUUAACACAUGCAAGUCGAGCGGAGAUGAGGUGCUUGCACCUUAUCUUAGCGGCGGACGGGUGAGUAAUGCUUAGGAAUCUGCCUAUUAGUGGGGGACAACAUUCCGAAAGGAAUGCUAAUACCGCAUACGCCCUACGGGGGAAAGCAGGGGAUCUUCGGACCUUGCGCUAAUAGAUGAGCCUAAGUCGGAUUAGCUAGUUGGUGGGGUAAAGGCCUACCAAGGCGACGAUCUGUAGCGGGUCUGAGAGGAUGAACCGCCACACUGGGAAUGAGACACGGCCCAGACUCCUACGGGAGGCAGCAGUGGGGAAUAUUGGACAAUGGGCGGAAGCCUGAUCCAGCCAUGCCGCGUGUGUGAAGAAGGCCUUUUGGUUGUAAAGCACUUUAAGCGAGGAGGAGGCUACCUGGAUUAAUACUCUAGGAUAGUGGACGUUACUCGCAGAAUAAGCACUGGCUAACUCUGUGCCAGCCGCCGCCGUAAGAC